AGCAUUGAGAAGCUACAAUAAAGAAACUUUUUUUCACUUUUGUCCCAUAAACUUUAUCUCUUGAAAUAUCAGUUACAGAAAAGCUAAACCAUUUGAGAAAAGGUGUCUUGAUCUUAGGUAACAUAAAAGACUGUUUUGUUUAAUGUAGUGUCGACAUGCUUGGUAGUGUUCUGGGACAGUAAGAAGUGUAAGAAGUCUUGAAUUCUGGCAAACCAGGGUCCAAAAAUCUGUGCUUUCUACUCUGGGGCUAGCUGAGCAGGAGCUUCAGUGUGCCAUCUGGGACCUCCGUCCUAAGAGCAUCUUACAUCUCAGGGUUAAAGGAGGGAAGGAUCAGACUCCCUAGAGUUCCCCUUCAUCUUCUUUGAGUCCUCAGGGCUGUUUUUGUUUCUGUAUACCCCCAAGGACCCUGACAGACAGGUCACAAUACAAUCCUUCUAUCUGAGAAAGACUUCCUUUCAGGAUCCACCCUCCACCAGGCUACCAGGUAAGUUACUCUACUCACCAAGUGGCUCCAUUUCCAGCAUCUCCCUUUAUAGAUUCCUGUCUCAAUAAUGUGCAUCUUAUACAAAAUGUAUUCCAUAGACUGUGGGAGACAGUUGAGCAACCCAUUUCUCUAAAAUCAGUCCUACAGGUUAUUUUAGAACUACGUCUGAUUCUCUCGCUCUGGGCUCUUCCAGCUUCUGCCCCAGGGUAACCAUUCACUUUCUUGUUGAUUCAGUGUUGAUAACUAAAACACAGCAAAACAGACAGGGUCGGUGUGGGGGUUCAGUCUGAGGUGUAUGCUUGAGUUUCUUUCUUUGGAAGCAACCUUUGCGUUACAUUCUUGCAAUCUAAUCGCUGCGGGUUAUUUGCCUCCUUUAUGCACCUAGGCUCAAGACUACUUAGCUCAGAGUUCAGGAAGUAAUAACAAAAGGAAUCAGAAUAGCUCUCAGGCAGUGGCUCAGAAGAAUCUCCCAGUCCGCCUUGCCUCUCCCUCCUCCUGGGUGUGUCUGCCUGGGAAGGCCAGUGAGUAACCUGCACUCCGCCCCCACCCCCCUUCGGCUUGGCCCUUCCCACCCAGACAAGAGGACUGAGUGAGUGGCAGACAGGCAGGCAGACUGCCGGGAGUCCGGUUGAAGCAUGCACCGAGCACACCUCCACCCGCACCCACCACCAGGACCCCUCACCGCCACCUCUUUGAACCAGGAGGAUCCAGAGCCCGGGUUGGGGUUCCCAGGGGGACUCUGCUCGCCGUGCCUCAACUAAUACCUGGGAGAAGAAAAUAAAAGAACAAUGUGUGAAAGGCAAGAUAAAGGGGCCGGCCAAGUUAACUCAAUCACACCAGCACCGCGUUAUUUGAGACACGCUAUGCUGUCAACAGCCCUGAGGAAUUAUCUCAUGAUUGCAUUAGAGUGGGAAGAUGCGCGGAGCUGAGAGGCAAGCAGAACAGAAUACUACGACCGAAAUUGCCCUAAGCUGAGGCGCCCUGCGUGAGCCCUGUGGAUGCCUGGCACAUGCCCAGGUGCCUCUCCAGUGCAUCAUUCUUUGGCAUCUUGGUUCAGGCUGCACUGGGAUUCUGUACUAAGAAGUCGCCUCUACCGGACAUACCUGGGUUUUUGAGCACCAAUGAACAGAUAAAAGCAAAACAAGCAAACCAAUGAGGCUAGGAGAGCACUUGAGCCUAUGAUUGGUUUGUGAGAGCGGAGGGGGAGGGGAGCUGGGUGAAAAGCGUCCUUACGCUCCUCCCCCGGUCCGCAGGAAGUCCCGUGUGCCUUCUGCUGAAGAGUCGGUAGCCUGUCUUCAUUGUCAUUAGGUGUUCCUGGGGUGAUAAUGCCAGAUGUUUGCUCCCUCAUCCGUAUGGCUUCCCCUCUACUAAUUAAAAGCUGAGAGUGACUGACUGCCUCCCAGUCAGCCAGCUCUUUGCCUUCUGAUCCAUGGAUGGUAUUUGUUUUGACGCCAAGUGGUUGACAAACGGAAGUGAGAAACCCUGUGGCGGAGUGGUUUUACCUGGAAAUUACAAGUUUAAAUCCGUGACUGUCCAAUUAUGACAGAGAGCAAAUGGACGAGUUCCGAGCCAACCCAGACGAUGUUUGGCAGGGAGAGCCGUUCUGGCUCUGUAAGCAUUAACACACUGAGUACUUCACAUUAUGGUAAAAUUAGAUCACUCUCCCUGUCAAACCUGUCUCUCUCCUAGAUCCGGAACUCUGGGGCAGAAUCCGUGUUAGAAGAGGGUAGUCUGCUCUUCCCCUCGGUGAUCUCAUGAACCAGGCUUUUGUAUUGAAACAAAUUGGAUGCAAUGCUUGCUUAAUUUGGCUUUCCUGAGGCUUCUUCAUGGUGAUUUUCCCAUCUCUUAUUAUCCUCUUGUGUUUUGCACUCUCUGUCCUUGGUAUUAUAAACAUUUGAACCUACCCAGCAGGUUGAAAAGUAGAUUUACGCAUGACUUUAGUCCCGACAGAGGUAGGUGGAUCUCUGAGUUCGAGGCCAGCCUGGUCUACAGAGUGAAUUCCAGGACAGCCAAGGACACAGAGAAAACCUGUCUCGCAAAACCAAAAAAAGAAAAAAAAGAAAGAAAGAAAGAAAGGGAAAACUAGACUUACGUUAAUAAGUCAGAGUCGGGCAAUUCAUUCAAGGCAGCUUUGUUUUUGAGAAAGUUAUGCGUUCCCACUUGAAGAAUUCCCUCCAAGGAGCCUUCCGGCAUUUCCUAGUAGAGCUGUCUCUUCUAUUAUGCUGGGUUUUUGGAAUUCUUCUCUUCUUCCACCCCAUGCUGUCCAGACCUCACAAGUAGGUAUUUAAAGCAUUCCAGUGGCAAGGGUGAAUGGCAGUCUCCACAAGGUCAUGGUGAUUAUUCUAAAGCAAAACAAAGCAGAAGCCGCUCCUUAGUCUGUGGGGAUGCUAUAUAAUAACUGCCGGCUGCAUACACGUCAGAAUGUAGGUCAGGGAAACCAGUUUGCAGAUGCAGUCCAGGUAGCUUUCGCCUGUUUCCUAAGUGGUGACAGUGGGGCAAAGGUGAAUGAAGCAGAGAGAUGGUGUGAAGAAGCCAGUGAUGAAGUCAGCUAGUGGAGCCAGCAGCCCUCCGCUAAAGUAAAAGUAAUUAUCAGAUCCUCAGGUCAGGCAUAUCUUCAAGUCCAACCAGAUGACUCUUCUUUGGUGCCAAACUGAGGUUGUAAAGCUUUUAAGGUGUGUGCAUGCAUAUGCAAAGCAGGGCAGAAGUGAAAAGAGGGAUGUAGCUUUGGGGGGGGUGGUCUGGGGGAGGGGUUAGGUUUUCAAGACUAGGUUUCUCUGUGGUCCUGGCUGUCUCAGAACUCACUCUUUAGACCAGGCUGGCCUCGAACUCUCAGAGAUCGGUCUGCCUCUGCCUCCUUAGUGCUGGGAUUAAAGGUAUGCACCAUAACUACCUAGCAAAAAGAAUAUUUGAUGCAUAUGACUGCUUUGCCUGAACCAAUGUAUAACACAUGCAUGCAGUGGCUUCAGAGGACAAAAGGUGUUGGAUCCCCUGGAACUAGAGCUGCAAACAGUUAUGAGCUCCAAGUGGGCGCUGGGAACUGAGCCUGGAUCUUCCAUAGGAGCAACAAGUGCUCUUAACCACUGAGCCAGUUCCAGCUCCAGGAUGAAGCUUUAAUGUACAAACCUUGUAUCUUUUCUAGAGGAAAGUCAAAAUGGUGGCCCUUGCUUGGGAAGCCCACAUGGCCGGGUGUGACAUUUUCCCCCCAUUCUGUGUAAUAACUUGAUUGCGAUUAAAAAAAA